rnacentral:rRNA from 1 species
AGGGUUUGAUUCUGGCUCAGGAUGAACGCUGACAGAAUGCUUAACACAUGCAAGUCUACUUGAUCCUUCGGGUGAUGGUGGCGGACGGGUGAGUAACGCGUAAAGAACUUGCCUUGCAGUCUGGGACAACGUCUGGAAACGGACGCUAAUACCGGAUAUUAUGAUUGAAUCGCAUGAUUUAAUUAUGAAAGCUAUAUGCGCUGCGAGAGAGCUUUGCGUCCCAUUAGUUAGUUGGUGAGGUAACGGCUCACCAAGACGAUGAUGGGUAGCCGGCCUGAGAGGGUGAACGGCCACAAGGGGACUGAGACACGGCCCUU